rnacentral:lncRNA from 10 species
UCUCACGAUAGUGAGUUCUCAUGAGAUCUGAUGGUUUAAAAGUGUGUGGCAGUUUCUCCUUCACUCUUUCUCCCUGACACCAUGUGAAGAAGGUCCUUGGUUCCCGUUCACUUUCCAUCAUGAUUGUAAGUUUCCUGAGGCCUCCCUAACUGUGCAGAACUGCCUUUCUGUUCCCUGAGACACAACAAUAUUGAAAUUAGGCCAGUUAAUAACCUACAAUGGCUCUCCCUCUCCCUCUCCCUCUCCCUCUCCCCACGGUCUCCCUCUCCCUCUCUUUCCACGGUCUCCCUCUGAUGCCGAGCCGAAGCUGGACUGUACUGCCGCCAUCUCCGCUCACUGCAACCUCCCUGCC